rnacentral:rRNA from 1 species
CCUACGGGUGGCAGCAGUAGGGAAUAUUGCACAAUGGGCGCAAGCCUGAUGCAGCCAUGCCGCGUGUGUGAAGAAGGCCUUCGGGUUGUAAAGCACUUUCAGCGGGGAGGAAGGCGGUGAGGUUAAUAACCUCAUCGAUUGACGUUACCCGCAGAAGAAGCACCGGCUAACUCCGUGCCAGCAGCCGCGGUAAUACGGAGGGUGCAAGCGUUAAUCGGAAUUACUGGGCGUAAAGCGCACGCAGGCGGUCUGUCAAGUCGGAUGUGAAAUCCCCGGGCUCAACCUGGGAACUGCAUUCGAAACUGGCAGGCCAGAGUCUUGUAGAGGGGGGUAGAAUUCCAGGUGUAGCGGUGAAAUGCGUAGAGAUCUGGAGGAAUACCGGUGGCGAAGGCGGCCCCCUGGACAAAGACUGACGCUCAGGUGCGAAAGCGUGGGGAGCAAACAGGAUUAGAUACCCGGGUAGUC